GCAACUACCCUGCCACACUCAGGCCUGACCAACUUCAUUCCAUCUUAGAAAAUUUACAAGAAGUUCUUCAUCUCUAGAAUGAACUUACCAGAAAGCUGACUUCAGGAGCAACUCAGGGAAUAGUCAUAUUUACCUAAAGAACUAAAUGUGGCCUGAGGA